rnacentral:rRNA from 1 species
AACGUAGGAGGCGAGCGUUAUCCGGAUUUACUGGGCGUAAAGGGCGCGUAGGCGGAUCUUUAAGUCGGGGGUGAAAGCCCUCGGCUCAACCGAGGAAUUGCGUUUGAAACUGGUGUGCUGGAGUCUCGGAGAGGUUGGCGGAAUUCCAGGUGUAGGAGUGAAAUCCGUAGAUAUCUGGAGGAACACCGGUGGCGAAGGCGGCCAACUGGACGAGUACUGACGCUGAGGUG